CUGUCGGCUCAGAAGCGAAGUGCAGGCGCGCUGCUCUUCCGGUCCCUUCUGAGCUCAGCCACAGAAGCGAGAGCAGCUGCAUGCUAAGCGGAAGAGAAAACUAGGAGAAAACUUCGGAGUUUACCUGUGAAAAGGAAAAAAACAGUUGGAGCACUUACCCACUGGAGGUCCGGAGCCAAGUGACUGAACGAAGGAGAGAGUUACGUCGGUCAGGUUUUUUUGGAGGACUGAAGAGUCUGAGGUUCAGGACAAACUUCCUGCUGUAACAGAUGGCGAGCCAACCACCCUGAAGAAAGAUCAGCACCGAGAAGAUAUCCACGUACCCACUCAUUCACACACACAUUAUACAUUUACAUUACACUACAAAGACCUUUGGAAUCAGGUGAACUUGCAAUAAUCCUACAACAGGAAAACCUGCAACAACUCCUAUUUUACUUAAGGGCCCCAACGGACAUUUUUUUGUUUCAAGUGUGCACACUGGGUUUUUCUUAUUGUCUUACUGUUUGGGUUAUUAUUUUGCAUUCUGUACAAAUCAGACAAAUUGUUUUAUCCACUGUUAAAAAUUAUACGAGUGGCUACUCAACUAUUACCAAUGCGAUUGCCUCAUUAUUGUUGCACAGUACAGUGACUCCUCCCGAAUUUAGUGUCUUCUGAUGCUGGUCCAGGUAUUAUAAAUAGUCCAAGUAAUUAUUACACUGUAAUUCACUUUUAUAUCCCUAAAGUUGGUUACAAUACCUUCCAACUUCUUCAUCCUGAAGUCUCUUGAUGAGGGCGUCUGCGACAGGGGUUUCAGAAUCCACCUCCAACAGUGAGUCUUGUGUUUAGCAACAUGAAAUUUAUACGCCUUUACACAUUGCGUUUCGAGACCUGCUUUUAUUCUGAAGGAGAUGUGCACCAAUACACAGAAGUGAAGUAUUCUGUGAGUGCCGGGAAAUUGUUGGUUAUUGUUUGACGGUAAGUUCCGAAUACCUGUUCCGAAUACCUGUUCCAUGAAGAAGCCUGGAAUUAAUUCCUUAACAAUCUGUAUUUGGACAAAUUGUGAAAUUAUCAGGAAAAAAAAUAAUGGAAUCAUGUAAGGGCUUUUGUGGUGUCGAGAUCUCAAACAGCACAAUCUGAGGUUGGAAAGAGGCAAUACACACGGACAACUCUGGAGGCAGAUAUAUAUAUAUAUAUUUAUUUCAUACAAUAACAUUAAAUAAAAGUAAAAGUUAAAUACACAAACACACAAAGGUAAAUUAGCUCUGACUCCCUGACAUGCAUAAAUACAAAUGUUUAUAACGUUAAACAUACACAAAUAGAAAUGUUUAUAACGUUAAACAUGCAUAAAUAAAAAUGUUUAUAAUGUUAAACAUGCAUAAAUAUAAAUGUUUAUAACGUUAAACAAAUAAAACGUUAUAAAACAAACAGCCCUCUCCGUGCAGCCUCCGGCUCUGCAGGCACAUACUAUUGGCUUCCAUUACUGUAGCAGUGUUGCCAACUACUUUCUCGCUAAAUCUGGAGACUUUCCAAAGCCUCCUGGGGACUUUUUUUUUCUUUGCCAAAAGCCACUAGCAACAAAUCUAGCGAAUUUUUCUGGUUUUGGAGAGUCUGACAUAAGUGGCGGAUCUUCCGUGGGGGCACGUAGGGGUAGUGGCCCCCUCCUGUGUGCCCCCCCAAAAUUUUCGUUGGAAAUUUACAUUACUGAAGCUCCGAUUUCCGACGCUCUUGAACGCAACUUCGUUGUCCAACUGCAACUGAAUGCACCAAUGAUGUUAGUUUGAUCUUUUGAUUGUAUUUUGUUUGGAUCUGAAGAAGCUUCCUGAUGCUGGAGGAGAAGACGAGUAGCUUUGUACCUUUGCGGUAAGAAGACUAUGGCUGUUUCUCAAUACCACUAACUGUCCGUACUUGCUUUCUCAUGUACUCGUGAAACGUCAUCAUCGAGACUGCAUCGGACCAGACUAGUGUAUAUACAGUGUAUAUACAGUCUAUGGUGUGCAUAGAUAUGAAUAAGUAGAUAGGACACGCCCCUUUGAGCUGCGUGCUACGGCAAGGCUAAGCUAGUGGGGGCCAAGUUUCAGUGCAUUCCGUUGAUGUAGACGGCGUGGAAACGGAAACAAGUAUGCCGUCUCACUGUGCUGCAUACAAUUACACACUACGUCGUACGAUUGAGACAAGGAAACUUGGAAUGCCUUUUCAUACAGUGAAAGUAGCAGUUCCUCCUGAAGGUCAGCGAUUGCAGCAUCUGAGGGCCUCUUCAAAAGAAGACGUAGUUGAUGAAGGCGUUCUGGAGCAGGACCAGAAAGACCACGACCAAGCAGCCUUGAGAUCUUAGACAGCGUCUCCCUCAGGUCCCUCUCUAUCUCCCCACACAUCCACCAACCACUGGAACACAUCUCCAAAGUUCUGCCAGACCACCUGCCAGAUGAAGGAGCCUUUUGAGAGGCAGCUGGCAUCGUGAUUGGACUGUACUUUGGUCUGUUCCAAUCCAGCUUCAGCUCCAGAGACGGCAGGCGGGACGAGUCAACGGAGGCCGGGUGGACGAAGGCAUGCAGCUGAGUACAAUCCAGAAAACAACAGAGGAGGAGUGCAGCGGCCAGAACAAACAGAGUAGCAUCGUAUGUCUCUUAGAAAACAUCAUAGUAUAGCCUUUGGUAUGAAAAAACGCCAUCAUAUACAUCGUAUAUUGUACAAAUAACAAGUCAAAGGAAAGAGACAUACAUUGUAGAAUUGUAGUAAUUCUGGGCUGAC
ensembl:lncRNA